UUUCUUGCUUGAUUGAAUGAUGGUUGUCUCCUGAAGAAAAAGAAAUUCCUUAAUGGUAGGCUCUGAGUUGCAUGAGAAUGGUUCAGUGGGAGAUGGCCUCGGAGGUUUGAGGAGGAAAAAAUGGUUUUUGCUGAGUUUCUAUAGUGACAAUGUAUUGACUUCUUGGGAUAAUUGUUGAAAUGAAUGGCCUUCAUUGUUGUACAAUGUAGAAGGGUGCAUCCAAAUUAGGGGUUCCAGUACAUCCAUUCUUGGGAUAAUUCAUAAAAUGAAUGACCUUCAUUGUUGUAGUAUGUAGAAGGG
rnacentral:lncRNA from 1 species